AACGUUCAUCCCGUUAGGGGACGGAAGUAAGCAAUCAAGCUGAAGGAACGCACU
ncrna:unclassified sequences Glutamine riboswitch